GCCUUUGUGGCGUAGUGGUAGCGCGUCGCACUUGUAUCGCACUUACGCGGCAUGCGAAGGUCACUAGUUCAAUCCUGGUCGGAGGCA
rnacentral:tRNA from 1 species